GGGAAUGUGGCUUAGUGGUAGAGAGCUUGCCUAGCAUGCAUGAAGCCCUGGGUUCGAUUCCUCAGUACCA
rnacentral:tRNA from 1 species